GUGGGGAAUCUUGCGCAAUGGGCGAAAGCCUGACGCAGCCAUGCCGCGUGAAUGAUGAAGGUCUUAGGAUUGUAAAAUUCUUUCACCGGGGACGAUAAUGACGGUACCCGGAGAAGAAGCCCCGGCUAACUUCGUGCCAGCAGCCGCGGUAAUACGAAGGGGGCUAGCGUUGCUCGGAAUUACUGGGCGUAAAGGGCGCGUAGGUGGACAGUUUAGUCAGAGGUGAAAGCCCAGGGCUCAACCUUGGAAUUGCCUUUGAUACUGGCUGUCUUGAGUACGGGAGAGGUGAGUGGAACUCCGAGUGUAGAGGUGAAAUUCGUAGAUAUUCGGAAGAACACCAGUGGCGAAGGCGACUCACUGGCCCGUUACUGACGCUGAGGCGCGAAAGCGUGGGGAGCAAACAGGAUUAGAAACCCGGGUAGUCC
rnacentral:rRNA from 1 species